rnacentral:rRNA from 1 species
UACAGAGGGGGCAAGCGUUGUUCGGAAUUACUGGGCGUAAAGGGCGCGUAGGCGGCCUUCUAAGUCGAACGUGAAAUCCCUGGGCUCAACCCAGGAACUGCGUCCGAUACUGGAAGGCUUGAAUCCGGGAGAGGGAUGCGGAAUUCCAGGUGUAGCGGUGAAAUGCGUAGAUAUCUGGAGGAACACCGGUGGCGAAGGCGGCAUCCUGGACAUAACACUACGCUGAGGAGCGAAAGCCAGGGGAGCAAACGGG